UACGUAGGGUGCGAGCGUUGUCCGGAAUUAUUGGGCGUAAAGGGCUCGUAGGCGGUUUGUCGCGUCGGGAGUGAAAACCUUGGGCUUAACUCAGGGCUUGCUUUCGAUACGGGCAGACUAGAGGUAUGCAGGGGAGAACGGAAUUCCUGGUGUAGCGGUGAAAUGCGCAGAUAUCAGGAAGAACACCCGUGGCGAAGGCGGUUCUCUGGGACGGUACUGACGCUGAGACGCGAAAGCGUGGGGAGCGAACAGG
rnacentral:rRNA from 1 species